rnacentral:rRNA from 1 species
CUUGCUCCUUGAUUCAGCGGCGGACGGGUGAGUAAUGCCUAGGAAUCUGCCUGGUAGUGGGGGACAACGUUUCGAAAGGAACGCUAAUACCGCAUACGUCCUACGGGAGAAAGCAGGGGACCUUCGGGCCUUGCGCUAUCAGAUGAGCCUAGGUCGGAUUAGCUAGUUGGUGGGGUAAUGGCUCACCAAGGCGACGAUCCGUAACUGGUCUGAGAGGAUGAUCAGUCACACUGGAACUGAGACACGGUCCAGACUCCUACGGGAGGCAGCAGUGGGGAAUAUUGGACAAUGGGCGAAAGCCUGAUCCAGCCAUGCCGCGUGUGUGAAGAAGGUCUUCGGAUUGUAAAGCACUUUAAGUUGGGAGGAAGGGCAGUAAGCUAAUACCUUGCUGUUUUGACGU